UGGAGGAUUAGCUCAGCUGGGAGAGCAUCUGCCUUACAAGCAGAGGGUCACAGGUUCAAGCCCUGUAUCCUCCAUC
rnacentral:tRNA from 1 species